AAAUUUCAUUAGCCGAACUAAUUUUUCCGCCUUUUACUUCCUACUUAGCCGAUUAUGUUAAUUAUAUCCGUCCCCUUGGACUGUCAUUAAAGUACCGGACACGCGUAUUAAUUGCUUUGAUUCAUCUGCAUCUGACAUACGGGAAGAUAGGAAGAAACAGUCAAAAUGAUUAAGGCAGUGGUAACAAUUUGUUGUCUAGUAAUCAUCGCUAUGGUAUUUGAGACACUGGCCCAGGAAAAUGCAAAUACAACUACACCGGCAGUAACAACACCUAAGACAUCGUCUGCAGUAAUUCAGUACAUCAGUGGUACAGUUCUUAUGGGAUGCAUGGCGCUUGUUCUCAGUCUAUUUUAACUGAACUAAUCACGUGGAUGAUUGACACGUCUGGAAUUUAGAAUGAGAACAUUUGCAAUCAACCAACAAAUAUGUCACCUUUAACAUGCGCCUUUUCGUUUAAUUUCAUUUUCAAUUUAUUUUUAGUAAUUUUUCUUUGCUUAAAAUUUCAUGCAGUAUUGUGACUGGUAUUUGUACAUGUAAAUGGAAAAGGGUGGAAGCAUAUAAAUGGCAGUUUGUAUUUUAUUUUUUGAAUUUUAUUCUAGUAAAAUAAGAUUAAUUAG